CCUACGGGAGGCAGCAGUGGGGAAUAUUGGGCAAUGGGCGUAAGCCUGACCCAGCAACGCCGCGUGAGGGAAGAAGGCUUUCGGGUUGUUAACUUCUUUUAUCAGGGACGAAGCGAGUGAGGGUACCUGAUGAAUAAGCCACGGCUAACUACGUGCCAGCAGCCGCGGUAAUACGGAGGUGGCAAGCGUUAUCCGGAUUUACUGGGUGUAAGGGGCGUGUAGGCGGGAGUGCAAGUCAGCUGUGAAAACUAUGGGCUCAACCCAUAGCUUGCAUUUGAAACUGUACUUCUUGAGUGCUUGAGAGGCAGUCGGAAUUCGGGGUGUAGCGGUGAAAUGCGUAGAUAUACGGAGGAACACCAGUGGCGAAGGCGGAUUGCUGGACAGUAACUGACGCUGAGGCGCGAAAGCGUGGGGAGCAAACAGGAUUAGAUACCCUUGUAGUC
rnacentral:rRNA from 1 species